rnacentral:misc_RNA from 1 species
ACUUUUUUGUCCUUAAUUUAUGAAAACAAAGAACUUAGUCGGAUCCUUUAAUCACUGCAUACUAUGUUCAAGGGCGCUCAAUCUUUCAACAUGAGCUAUAUGGGUGUCUGAGUCAUUGAUAAAUAAGAAUAAAAUAGUGUUAUGACUUGUUAACGUUGUUUUAAAUGUACAUGUAUAUUUUGUAGUUUAAAAUGUGUAAAUAGAAUAACAUUAUUGUAAAAACUCGGUGUAUAGAUUGUUGAAUUAAACACAAUAUUAAUAAUUAGUUAGCUUUUGAAUUAUUAAUCCUGAAUGUUCAUUCAGUUCGUGCUUGUGUACAAUCCAUUUUAUUCGGAAUAAAACCAUAAAAAUGCU